UAUAGAAAUUCCUGAAAAUGAGUUUACGUCUCACCAGCGAAUGUGAAGUCGUUUAUGAAGAGACUUUGCCAAAACCCAAAGAUUUCAGCCAAUGAAAGGAGGCGUUAGAAACAUGGUUAUGGUAUAGGCUUCUGAUUGGUCCAAGGAAUUCCUCCUGUCCUCCCUUUGGAAGGCUCAGACUCAGUGUAGUUCUAAACACGAACAGGAGUGGUCAGUGGACGUUUUUGCACACAAAUGCUCACGAGAUAAAGGAAAGGACUUUAGUAAUGGAGAAGGCAUUUCAGGUAACAGCAGCGUCCAUGUGCAAAGUGUCUCCAGUAUUUCGAACCAACUUGCUGUUGAAGGAUGCCAUCUUUUUCACGCGUGAUGGAACUUGGACUUUAUUUGCUCUCAGCAUUCAUCGUCUUGAAACCAUCUCUCACUCAGACCACCAGUCUUGAAAGCGACGCCACUUCAACUACUAAUGAAACAGAGACGUUCGUCUUCGCAGCGUUCCAGGGCGACGGGAUCCCCACGACGGAGUCUUAUCUGUACUACAAGGGGGAGGUGCCCGAGAUGACUCAGUUCACCGUCUGUUUCCGAGUCAACUUCCAGCGGUUCAGAGAUCUUAGUCCCAUAGUUUCUUACGCCGUACCGGGGGAUGUGCACCACCUGCA